rnacentral:rRNA from 1 species
UACAGAGGAUGCAAGCGUUAUCCGGAAUGAUUGGGCGUAAAGCGUCUGUAGGUGGCUUUUUAAGUCCGCCGUCAAAUCCCAGGGCUCAACCCUGAAUCGGCCGUCGAUACUCCCGGGCUUGAGCACUGUAGAGGCAGAUGGAAUUCCGGGUGUAGCGGUGGAAUGCGUAGAGAUCCGGAAGAACACCGGUGGCGAAGGCGGUCUGCUGGGCAGUAGCUGACACUGAGGCGCGACAGCGUGGGGAGCAAACAGG